GGAAGAAGAGAGGGAAAGGGCUAUUGUCAUGCAAGCGAUGACAGCUUGUGUAGCAGCUGUAGGAGAAUACUGUCGUGUAUAUAUGUUCAGACAGCCAGCGUGACACAGAGAUGAUGAAUGGGCGAGGUUCAUCAACUCUAUCAUUCGGGCGACAGAAGUGGAUUGUAUAGCUCAACUUAGGAUGAGUUGAGAUGCUUUCUUUGAGUUGUGUACUACACUUCGCAAGAAGACACAUUUGCGUUACACCCGUCAUGUCAAUCUUGAAGAACAUGUGGUUAUGUUCCUUUGUACAGUUGGCCAUAAUGUUCGCAAUAAGGUCAUAGGGCACAGAUUUAUUCGAUUCGGGGAAACCGUUAGCCGUCACUUCAACAAUGUUUUGGAUUCUAUUGUAUCAUUAUACCCAGAGUUUGUUAAACAGCCAAGCUCAGAAACACCACCCGAGAUUCAGACGAAUAUCAGUUAGGCUCCAUACUUUCAGGACUGUGUUGGUGCAAUUGACGGGACACAUAUACUGGCUCUGGUCCAGUCUGCAAAUCAUGCGAGCUUCCACAAUAAAAAAGGAUUCCUCUCACAAAAUGUAUUCGUGGCAUGUUCAUUUGACAUGAAUUUCCUUUACAUAUUAGCCGGUUGGGAGGGUUCAGCCUCGGAUGCGCGGGUGCUGCACAAUGCUCUGACCCGAUCAGAUGAUCCAUUACAUGUCCCGCAUGGAAAAUAUUAUGUUGUCGACGCUGGAUAUGCGCAUUCACCAGGUUUUAUGGCUCCAUAUCGCGGUGUGCGAUACCACU